GCUCCUGUAGUCUAGCCCGGUCAAGGACACCGGACUCUCACUCCGGUAGCCCGGGUUCGAAUCCCGGCGGGAGCA
rnacentral:tRNA from 1 species